GAGAGUAUAAGGUAUGAAAACCUGUUUUUUUUAUCCUUUUUAAAGAAGAGUUUUUUUCUUCUAAUAUUAGCAAUUUUGUUCUUUCAUCAAAGGCUGAGACCAAAGAAAACUACAUCUCCAGCACCGUCCAGCACAUCUCUGAAAAGUGACCAGUCACUGGAUCAACCGAUAUGGUUCAAAGAUGGAGCACAAAGUAUAAGGUAGAUUACUGAGUAAUGCAUAAUAAACACAGACCCACACACACACAUAUAUACAUACACACAAGGGUAAUAAAUUGUGUAUUGUUUAUUUUAUCAGUCUGGUUCCUAAAAACUAGCCAGAAAGUUCUGAACAUUUCAAAAGCAACAAUGCAAGUGUAACUAUUCAGUUCUUAACAUGAACACAACAAUUACACAGCCAGACACCUUACAGUUAAAUUCUAAUUUUGAAUAACUUUAGAGGCAAAUUUAAUUCUGUUCAAAAAUGAAAUAGAGAGUACAAGGUAAGAAAACCUGUUUUUUAUCCUUUUAAAAGAGGAUUUUUUUCUUCUAAUAGCAAUGUUGUUCUUUUAUCAAAGGCUGAGACCAAAGAAAACUACAUCUCCAGCACCGUCCAGCACAUCUCUGAAAAGUGACCAGUCACUGGAUCAACCGAUAUGGUUCAAAGAUGGAGCACAGAGUAUAAGGCUGAGACCAAAGAAAACUACAUCUCCAGCACCAUCCAGCACAUCUCUGAAAAGUGACCAAUCACUGGAUCAACCGAUAUGGUUCAAAGAUGGAGCACAGAGUAUAAGGCUGAGACCAAAGAAAACUACAUCUCCAGCACCGUCCAGCACAUCUCUGAAAAGUGACCAGUCACUGGAUCAACCGAUAUGGUUCAAAGAUGGAGCACAAAGUAUAAGGCUGAGACCAAAGAAAACUACAUCUCCAGCACCGUCCAGCACAUCUCUGAAAAGUGACCAGUCACUGGAUCAACCGAUAUGGUUCAAAGAUGGAGCACAGAGUAUAAGGCUGAGACCAAAGAAAACUACAUCUCCAGCACCGUCCAGCACAUCUCUGAAAAGUGACCAGUCACUGGAUCAACCGAUAUGGUUCAAAGAUGGAGCACAGAGUAUAAGGUAGAUUACUGAGUAAUGCAUAAUAAACACAGACCCACACACA
ensembl:lncRNA